rnacentral:rRNA from 1 species
AACCCGCACGCCGGAAGACCAAGGGUUCCUGUCCAACGUUAAUCGGGGCAGGGUGAGUCGACCCCUAAGGCGAGGCUGAAAAGCGUAGUCGAUGGGAAACAGGUUAAUAUUCCUGUACUUGGUGUUACUGCGAAGGGGGGACGGAGAAGGCUAGGCUGGCCGGGCGACGGUUGUCCCGGUUUAAGCGUGUAGGGGGAGUGACCAGGUAAAUCCGGUUGCUUAUCAACCCUGAGGCGUGAUGACGAUGCACCACGGUGCAGAAGCAGUUGAUGCCAUGCUUCCAGGAAAAGCCUCUAAGCAUCAGGUAACAUUAAAUCGUACCCCAAACCGACACAGGUGGUCAGGUAGAGAAUACUCAGGCGCUUGAGAGAACUCGGGUGAAGGAACUAGGCAAAAUGGUGCCGUAACUUCGGGAGAAGGCACGCUGGCGUUAGGUGAAAGGACUAGCUCCUGGAGCUGAAGCCAGUCGCAGAUACCAGCUGGCUGCAACUGUUUAAUAAAAACACAGCACUGUGCAAACACGAAAGUGGACGUAUACGGUGUGACGCCUGCCCGGUGCUGGAAGGUUAAUUGAUGGGGUCAGCCGCAAGGCGAAGCUCUUGAUCGAAGCCCCAGUAAACGGCGGCCGUAACUAUAACGGUCCUAAGGUAGCGAAAUUCCUUGUCGGGUAAGUUCCGACCUGCACGAAUGGCGUAAUGAUGGCCAGGCUGUCUCCACCCGAGACUCAGUGAAAUUGAACUCGCUGUGAAGAUGCAGUGUACCCGCGGCAAGACGGAAAGACCCCGUGAACCUUUACUAUAGCUUGACACUGAACAUUGAGCCUUGAUGUGUAGGAUAGGUGGGAGGCCUUGAAGUGUGGACGCCAGUCUGCAUGGAGCCAACCUUGAAAUACCACCCUUUAAUGUUUGAUGUUCUAACUCGGCCCCAUGAUCUGGGGUGAGGACAGUGUCUGGUGGGUAGUUUGACUGGGGCGGUCUCCUCCCAAAGAGUAACGGAGGAGCACGAAGGUUAGCUAAUCACGGUCGGACAUCGUGAGGUUAGUGCAAAGGCAUAAGCUAGCUUGACUGCGAGAGUGACGGCUCGAGCAGGUACGAAAGUAGGUCUUAGUGAUCCGGUGGUUCUGAAUGGAAGGGCCAUCGCUCAACGGAUAAAAGGUACUCCGGGGAUAACAGGCUGAUACCGCCCAAGAGUUCAUAUCGACGGCGGUGUUUGGCACCUCGAUGUCGGCUCAUCACAUCCUGGGGCUGAAGUAGGUCCCAAGGGUAUGGCUGUUCGCCAUUUAAAGUGGUACGCGAGCUGGGUUUAGAACGUCGUGAGACAGUUCGGUCCCUAUCUGCCGUGGGCGUUGGAAGAUUGAGAGGGGCUGCUCCUAGUACGAGAGGACCGGAGUGGACGAAUCACUGGUGUUCGGGUUGUCAUGCCAAUGGCAUUGCCCGGUAGCUAAAUUCGGAAGAGAUAACCGCUGAAAGCAUCUAAGCGGGAAACUUGCCUCGAGAUGAGUCUUCCCUGGGGCUUAAAGCCCCCUGAAGGAACGUUAAAGACUAUGACGUUGA